GCUGCAGAUAGCGCACUCUGUUUGUUUUCUUUAUUUUUUUGUAAAUGCACAAAGUUUUGUUGUUAUCAUGUGUGUAUACAAAUAAAAGUAAACCCUUUACAGAUUCGUUUGAUGUAUUGCUCUUAUUAGUAUGAUCAAAACUGAAAGUGCAAUUUAAGUUAUUUUCGGUCUCCAAGUUGGGUCCAUCAAAGGCUAUCUGAAUGGUGUCCAAUUUUUCCACAAGUUGAUGUUCGGCGCUCCCUCGCCUGAAAUAAGCGAUUCACAAACUUCCCUCCUGAUCAAAGGGAUACAGCGAUCCCAGCCCACCUAGCCCGACUCUAGACAACCCAUAACGUUAGAUAUACACAAAAUGUAUCCACACCCUCCGCACAAAUUACCAGCCUCUCAGUACAGCCCGCACACUCGAUGCCAUGUUCAUCCUAGCGUUUUUCGGUUUACUUAGAUGCUCGUAGCUCACUAUUUCUUCCAAAUUUGAUCCAAAAAACAAACCCGACCAUCUCAGACCCAACCGUACUUGAUAACGAAACAAUUUCUUUCUUAAUCAAACAAAGCAAGACAGACCAAGGCAAGAAAGGUCAUUUCAUCUACAUUUUCAAUCUCCCUUCUCCAAUCCAACCCUACCAAUCCAUCUUAGAAAACCUCCGCCUUAGAAAUUCUCAGGCUAAAUUCCCGCACUAACCACUAUUCGUAGAUGACUCCAAAAAACCAGUCACUCAAUUCUGGUUCCAAAAACAUCUCUGAUCCGUCCUGCAAUUGUCGGGCAUCUCAGCAAAGAAUUUCUCCAGCCAUUCUUUUCGCAUCGGGGCAGCAACUUCACCAGCCCAAAAAGGUCUCUCCAAGCAGCAGAUCCAAACUCUUGGAAGAUGGUCUUCAGAAGCGUACCAAAGCUAUAUCAGAACUAACUAGUUCCACAUUAAAAAAGUCCAACAAACUGUCAUUGGUCAUCAAACCAAUUAAAAAAAAAAAAACACCCCUUUCCAUCCUAUGGCCGGCAAGGCUUACGUAUGCGAUGCCAUGAGUAUUGAGCUCCCAUCGGAUGUCGGUGAGAGCCUCCCGGCUAAACAACCUUACCUUUUCCUUUCUACGGUCGGCGAGACUUACCCACCCGAUGCCGCGAGUAUUGAGCUCCCGAUGAAUGCUGUCUAAGCCCUCUCAGCUAUCCUCACAUCUUUUUUCCCCCACCUGGCGAGGCUUACCCGUUCAAUGUUCUGAGUAUGAUACCCCAUCGGAUGCCGCGAGAGCCCUCCCAGUCGGGUUUUCCUUUUCUUUCUCCCCACCCGGCGAGGCUUACCCAUCUGAUGCGUGUGCUCCCGUCAGACGUCGGCGAGAGUUCUCCCGACCAGGCACCCCAAACCAUGUAGUCCAGUACCAGCAGCCGGUAGGGCCUACCCUUCCAACCCUUCCCCAGACAGCAUGCCAAAUAUGCAUUAUCAUACUUCAGCUAAUUAUAUGUGUGGACUCAUGAAAUAAUGUUUUAUUAACAAGUUUCGGGAGGAGUGCGUCAAAUACUUAGCCUAAUAAACACUGGUGGAGCACAAUCAAGUUAAUCAACACCACAGUAUAAAUACAACUGACUUAUCUAUAUCCAUUGACGGUUUAUCAGCAUCCCUCCUCCACCCAAUCUCCUCACUUCGAGUUUUCCGAUUAUACAGGAAGGGGGUACUCUAGGUUCAGGCCAGUCCCGAGCUUGGAGACCUUCCCUGGACAGCACGCCAAAUACGCAUUAUCAUACUUAAGCUAAUUAUAUGUAAGUGUGAACUCGUGAAUUGUGAGUUUAUGGUAUGAAUCUGUGGGUUGCUAUGUGUUCUGUCUUUUUUUGUUCAGCACUUAAAUGUGCUAUAUAAAUAAUAAUAAUAAAAAAACAUGAAACUUGAUUCUUGAGGGUGUUGCAUGGAAUUUCACAUUUCAAUUUUCUAGACAGAUGGAAUUGGACAUGCAGCACUUUACUUUUUCACCAACAGAUAUACAGUCGAGGCCAAAAAUAUUGGCCCCCUUGGUAAAUAUGAUCAAAAAAGGCUGUGAAAAUUCAUCUGCAUUGUUAAUCCUUUUGGUCUUUUAUUUAAAAAAUUCACACAAAUGUAUCCUUUCAUUGGAUAAUAAGAAUUUAAAAUGGGGGGAAAUAUCAUUAUGAAAUAAAUGUUUUUCUCUAAUACACAUUGGCCACAAUUAAUAGCCCCCUUUUAUUCAAUAAUUUUUGAAACCUCCAUUUGCCAGUUAAACAGGUCUAAAUUUUCUCCUAUAAUGCCUGAUUAGGUUAGAGAACGCCUGACAAGAGAUCAGAGACCAUUCCUUCAUCCAGAAUCACUCCAGACCCUUUAGAUUCCCAGCUCCAUGUUGGUGCUUCUCCUCUUCAGUUCCCUCCUCUCAUUUUCCGUAGGUUUCAGGUCAGAGGACUGGAAAGGCUAUAGCAGAAGCUUGGUUUUGAGCUCAAGACCCAUUUCUGUGUUGUUUUUGAGGUUUGUGUUUGGGUUAUUGUACAGUUGGAAGAUCCGAACAUGGCCCAUUAUAAGAUUUCUAACAGAGUCAGUCACUUACUGAUUUUUUUAUCUGUUGGUAUUUGAUAGAAUCCAUGAUGCCAUGUAUCUGAACAAGAUGUCCAGGACCUCCAGCAGAAAUAUAGGCCCACAACAUCAAAAAUACAGCAGUAUAUUUCAUUGUACACAUGGGGUACUUUUUUUAUCUCUGUUUUCACCAAACCCAUCUUGAGUGUUUGCUGCUAAAAAGCUCAUUUUUAGUUUCAUCUGAUCAUAGAAGCCAUUCCCAUUUAAAGUUCCAGUCAUGGCUGAUAACUGAAUAUGCUUUAGUUUGUUUUUGAAUGAGCUAGGAGAAAUUUUCUUGUAACCCUCCCAAAAAACGUGUUGAUGUAGGUUCUGUUGGACAACUUUUUUUAAAGGAUUUCUGAACCAGAGACUCAACUAUUUUCUGCAAUUCUCCAGCUGUGACCUUUGGAGAGUCUUUAGCUACUCAAACUCUCCUUCUCACCGCACAUUAGGACGAUAUAGACACACAUCCUCUUCCAGGCAGUUUUGUAACAUUUUCUGUUGGUUGGAAAUUCUUAAUUAUUGCCCUGAUGGUGGAAAUGGGAAUUUUCACUGCUCUAGCUCUUUUCUUAAAGCCACUUCAGCAAAUUGUGAAGCUCAAUUAUCUUUUGCUGCACAUCAGAAAUAUAUUCUUUGGUUUUUAGGGGCCAAGCCCCUUUCAAAUGAUGAAAUUUGGCACACUUCUAGUGAUGCCCAUGAUUUUGGGGUCUCUAAAACCAACUCUAUAGCGCCACCAGCAGUCCAAAUAUUCAACAUUCAAAUGUUAAUAACUCUUGAACCCCUAAUUCUAUGAAAAUAAAACUUAGUACACCUGAUCAGUCUCUUCAUGGAGAUUACAGGCAAUACCUUACAUUAAGUCUCCGCCCUUUACAGUAGUGUCCAUUUUGAAAAGUACAGUAUUCAGUCUAUUCGCUACUCCUCCUUCAAAACUGGUCCAAUUAUUCUGAAAUUUGGCUCAGUUCAUCUUUGGACCAAGCCGCACAGAAAUGACUCAACAGAUUUUUGAUAUUCAUCUUUGUUCAAAAGUUAUUAAAUUGUGAACUUAACGAGGUCGACCCAAUAUCGGUUCAGAGGCUGUAUCUCGGCCAAACUUUGAUCAAUCGAAACCAAACUUGGUACACUUCAUCAACACCAUGGUCUGAGGGUCUAUGCCAAAGUUGGGAACAGCGCCACCUAUGGGUGUUGAGAUACCAAAAAUGCACAUUUUUGCUUAUAAUUUCUGAACAAUCAGUCAGAAUUAUGAUCUUGGUGUCUAUGGAUUCUUUGGAUCAUUCCGAAUCUGUGGAUGUCAAUUUUGUCAAGAUUGACUGAACCACCUGUCCGCCAUUUUGAAAUUUGUCAUAAAUUGCUAUAUCUUUUGAACCACUGGACAAAUCUAAAAAUUUGUAGGGAUCAUGAACACCAUCUCCCGGAGGUACCCCGGAAGUUUGAAGACAGCGCUCAAGAGAUAUAAUGAUUCUUGCAAAACCCCUUAUAACUUUUGAAAAUGUUGCUCAAUUUUUGUUAAUUUUAUGUCAUUUCGUUCCGUGGGUUCUGCUGAAUCUUAUGAGAUCUUAUUUGUCAUUUUCCAACAUGGUGUCUGUCUGCCAUAUUGAAUUGAAUGAAAAAACAUUUUUUCGCUACUCCUCCCUGAAAUCUUGUUCAAUUUUGUUUAAAAUUUGAUCAGAUUAUCUUAAAACCGAGCCGGACAGAAAUGACUGAACAGAUUUUUGAUAUUCACUCUCGUUCCCGACAUGUACCUCUCGGAAGUUGACCGUGCCUGUGCUAGUUGAUUUAUGCUAAAAAAAAAAGUUCAUUAUUUUCCAUAAUGUAAUGAUAAAAAUUUAACUUUCAUAUAUUUUAGAUUCAUUACACUCCAACUGAAAUAUUUCAGGUCUUUUAUUGUUUUAAUACUGAUGAUUUUGGCAUACAGCUCAUGAAAACCCAAAAUUCCUAUCUCAAAAAAUUAGCAUAUUUCAUCUGACCAAUAAAAGAAAAGUGUUUUUAAUACAAAAAAAGUCAACCUUCAAAUAAUUAUGUUCAGUUAUGCACUCAAUACUUG
ensembl:lncRNA